CCUACGGGUGGCAGCAGUGGGGAAUAUUGCACAAUGGGGGAAACCCUGAUGCAGCGACGCCGCGUGAGUGAAGAAGUAAUUCGUUGUGUAAAGCUCUAUCAGCAGGGAAGAAAAUGACGGUACCUGAGUAAGAAUCCCCGGCUAACUACGUGCCAGCAGCCGCGGUAAUACGUAGGGGGCAAGCGUUAUCCGGAUUUACUGGGUGUAAAGGGAGCGUAGACGGCAGUGCAAGUCUGGAGUGAAAGGCGGGGGCUCAACCCCCGGACUGCUCUGGAAACUGUACGGCUGGAGUGCAGGAGAGGUAAGUGGAAUGCCUAGUGUAGCGGUGAAAUGCGUAGAUAUUAGGAGGAACACCAGUGGCGAAGGCGGCCUGCUGGACAGAAACUGACGUUGAGGCUCGAAAGCGUGGGGAGCAAACAGGAUUAGAUACCCCAGUAGUC
rnacentral:rRNA from 1 species